GACGAACGCUGGCGGCGCGCUUAACACAUGCAAGUCGAACGGAAAGGCCCUGCUUUUGUGGGGUGCUCGAGUGGCGAACGGGUGAGUAACACGUGAGUAACCUGCCCUUGACUUUGGGAUAACUUCAGGAAACUGGGGCUAAUACCGGAUAGGAGCUCCUGCUGCAUGGUGGGGGUUGGAAAGUUUCGGCGGUUGGGGAUGGACUCGCGGCUUAUCAGCUUGUUGGUGGGGUAGUGGCUUACCAAGGCUUUGACGGGUAGCCGGCCUGAGAGGGUGACCGGCCACAUUGGGACUGAGAUACGGCCCAGACUCCUACGGGAGGCAGCAGUGGGGAAUAGUGCACAAUGGGCGGAAGCCUGAUGCAGCAACGCCGCGUGCGGGAUGACGGCCUUCGGGUUGUAAACCGCUUUCGCCUGUGACGAAGCGUGAGUGACGGUAAUGGGUAAAGAAGCACCGGCUAACUACG
rnacentral:rRNA from 1 species